UACGAAGGGGGCUAGCGUUGCUCGGAAUCACUGGGCGUAAAGGGUGCGUAGGCGGGUCUUUAAGUCGAACGUGAAAUCCCCGGGCUCAACCCGGGAACUGCGUCCGAUACUGGCAGGCUUGAAUCCGGGAGAGGGAUGCGGAAUUCCGGGUGUAGCGGUGGAAUGCGUAGAGAUCCGGAAGAACACCGGUGGCGAAGGCGGCCUGCUGGGCAGUUUGGCUGACACUGAGGCGCGACAGCGUGGGGAGCAAACAGG
rnacentral:rRNA from 1 species